rnacentral:rRNA from 1 species
GACGAACGCUGGCGGCGUGCUUAACACAUGCAAGUCGAGCGGUAAGGCCCUUUCGGGGGUACGACGAGCGGCGAACGGGUGAGUAACACGUGGGUGACCUGCCUCUAGCUCUGGGAUAAGCCCGGGAAACUGGGUCUAAUACUGGAUAUGACUCCAUGACGCAUGUUGUGGGGUGGAAAGCCUUGUGCGGCUAGAGAUGGGCCCGCGGCCUAUCAGCUUGUUGGUGGGGUGAUGGCCUACCAAGGCGACGACGGGUAGCCGGCCUGAGAGGCGACCGGCCACACUGGGACUGAGACACGGCCCAGACUCCUACGGGAGGCAG